rnacentral:sRNA from 1 species
UAGCGUCUCAGUAAGCGUCAGACUAUCCCACACUCUCAAACCAAAUGUGACCAGGUUUGUACUCACUGGCAAGGUUGUAUAGCUCUGGCAUUAUCUUUGCCCUAACGAAUGCUGUAUUGCGGAGCUGUUCUCCCUAUCUCAUAGGUAGCAUGGGUAGGACCAUUCUAAGAAUGUGCUCUUCCCCAAGACAGUCAUCCCCAACUCUCCAACCAAACUCCAGUGGGAUCCCGGAACUCCAGAGCUCCACUUAUGAGACAUGGGGCUUGUCCAGUUUCUGGAGCCUUUGAGAUGCCUGGUGGUCAGGUCUAUGCACUUGGCCUUACAGCCUAGAAGGGAUAAUAUGGUUCCCCAGGUCAGUGGGAAAAUAUCAUGAAUGAAUUCUGAGGAGCUGAAGACAGGUUGGUAAGUGGAAAAGCAAGUGCUGGUACUGCAGCUGCCCAGGUCCUUCGGUACACCAGCACUAAGAGCACGCAGCCCCCAGUGCCCGCUCACAAUGCCUGCUCCCCCAGUAUGGCCUUGUCAAACCAGUACAGCACCAGAUCAGACAGAGUUCAGACACAGUCAGGUUGGCAUGUACUGGCCCACAGGCUUGAACCCCUACAAGGCCAUUCUGAGUACCAACAUUGGCAGUAUCACAGCCACAGUCUAUGACUUCAUCUCAUGAACUGCCCCCAACAUCAAGUUAAGAGAGACUUAAAUCCACCAGUCCUGAUGAAUGUGCCUUUUACAGGUCCGGAUUCAAUCCCAGCUUAAUUACAUUGGCCUUGACCAACCUGGCAUCCAUGCAAAGAGGUUAAAGCUCCUACAAGAACCGCAAAGGACUGAGCAGUGAGACAAGUGCAGGCUAAGAGAGGUGAGGCGGGUCCGUACCCAUCUCAUCCCAGCCUCGCUCCUUAUCCACUGUCUCCAAUCUGCCCCUCAGGGAAAUAAUUUGGUCUAAAUAAUCUCAGAAUAGGGGUCCAGAAAAAAUAAGUUUAAAAUGACUAGAUGCAUUAAACCAUGUACUCCAAUCCAACCAGAGAUUAAACAAGAGAGAAAGGAGAGAGAUUCCUCCAGAUCCAAUCCUCCUAUCUCCAGUUAUAUUUUAUGGAGAACUUACGUCAUUCACAAAAGAGAUGUAGUUUCCCCAGGGGAGACAGCAGGUGUACAUUUCCUCUCAAGGUUAUUUAAUUGCUGUCAGGAAGACAUAUGAUUAACAAAACCAAAUGCUGGAAAUAUGAAGUAUAGACAAUUUUAAAGUUGUUUAUGUAGUUGAUUACCGUAUAUCAUACAAUGUGUUUAUUUGCCAUAAACCUGCCUAUCACAAACUGUUUCCACACCUGUGCGUUGGUACUAAACAACCCACCGCUUAGAUCUGCACAAAUCCUCGGCUCUGAGGAUGGCCAGGAACACAGAGUCGCUUUCACUGGUGGCUUGAGUCACCUCCCAGGUACCGGCUUGACCAUGUGCUUUGACACCCUCCUUCUGAAGCCAAGGCCUGCUGUCCCAUAGUGUCCUCUGCUUGACAAUAACCCUCUAUGGAAGAAAAACAGUAUGGAACUGGCAGGCCUCUACAGUUCCUCUUUGUCCUCCAUGCAGUUGCUGCCCUGAUCAAGGCCGAUAUUUGUCACACACUGACACCGAAGAGGCCAGAUUAAGAGGAAGCAUUUUGAAAGGUGGGGAGUCAUUUGAUAUCUUACAUGCAUGUCUGUGGGAUCUUAUAACUUCUAAAAAUGAGACUUGAUUCAUAUAUAUGUUAUUGGUCUUUUAAAAUUUUCGCUUCUAAUUUUUAUGAACUGUACCAAAUGCCAAUGGGUAGCCGAAUGGACGUUUAAAAAACAGAAUGGAUGUUUUGACACAGAUCAAUUGAGAAGCACUGUCUUGGGGACUGGGGGUGGCUCCUGGUCAGCUGAUAUCCCAGGACUGUUCCCAGUUUUAAAAAGUCAGCUGUUGGCAAGAAUGUGACCCACAGAGAUGAUCUUUCCAAAGCAUCACUCGGAGACAGAAGCAGACCACUGGUACACUGCACCUGCUAGGCUCAUGUCAGAGCAGCUCGGCUCCAACAAAACUAAGUCCACUCGGUCCUCAGCUAAACUCUCAAGCCAUGAAGUCCUAGCAGUGUGAUUAACAAAGUGAGGACUGAAGGGGAGAAAGAGAAGGUGAUGAAGGAGGUGGAGGAGAAAAAAACAACUCUACAGACUCACCAUGAGCCAGAUAUUGCCCUACAUGUUUUGCAUACACACAUGAUGGAUCAUGGUGGCAGCAACCUAUGGUGGCAGCAACCUGCGAUAGCAGUCACACCCACCGAGUCUACAGCCAGGGAGCGGAAGGACGUGAAUGCUGAUUUCAUCACGCUUUUUCCUUCACAUUCACUCUGGGCCCCCAGCGCAUGGGGUGGGAGAGUUCACAUUCAAGUGAGUCUUCCCUCUCUGGUUGAAUCUCUCUAGAAAUGCUAUCACAAACAUACACAAAUUUGUCUCUGAGAUGACUCCAAAUUUCAUCGAGUUAACGUGAACGUUCAUCACCACAAGCAUCCGGUGCGUUUACAAUGAUUUCUGGAAUAGCUGUGGAUUUUUACCAGUGAUUAAUUAAUUUUUAAUUGAGCACAUUAGAAAUUGUGCUGAACAUGUUUUUAAAAAAAGAGUAAUUAAGGAAUUGAAGUCUAAUACCUAGGAAAUCAGUGAUUUCUAUUUAGAGGUUGGGCAUUGAGCAUAGAUGGAGAAAUGUUAGUACAGAACACCAUGGAAGUUUAUGGUUUCACUCUUUUUUGCAUUUGGAAAUUCUUAGGCCCGGAACAGAACGGAAAAUGGAGAAGAGAGCCCAGCAUGCCUUGUGCCGUGCCAGAGGAGUACAUAGAAAGAUCUCGAAAGAGUCAGGUUGGUCCAGACCUGCUGGCGAGCCUGCAGCCUCAGCCACCAAUUACCUAAUACACUUGUGACAUCUGCUUUCCUUGUUGUGAGAAAACACAGGGAGGAAGUGUUGAAGAAAAGAAUUGUUUGAGGACCCUCAUCUGGAAAGAAGAGAAUUCUCAGUGGAGUGGGACAUUUGAGGUUUGGAUCCACUCCCCCGAAUGGGAAGACAGUCUAUAAGACUGAGGGCGUGUGUCCAGUCAAAAGGUUACCCCUAAGAAUCUUCAAAACCCAAUGCGAGGCUGGGUGGGAAGGUUUUCCCACCAGAUGUAUGCAACAGUGCCAUCCAGCGGCUAUAGCAAUAAUUACAAGUAUAUCUCAUUUUCAAAGGCGCAGAAGAGGCAGUGCAUGCACUGCACACCCAGCAACACCGGAAGCUUCACUUCUUCCAUUGGUAAAUGGUUGAGGGAAGGCAUUGGAACCCCUGAGCAUUUUUAUUGUAGAGCCUCACUAAGAAACUCAUCGAUAUUUCCCCAAGUUGUCAAAAAUGAACUAAGAGAAGGAGAAAAAGGGAAAUGGGGUAGUGAAGAGGAUAGAUGAAUGAAAAAACGUGAAGAAGCAAAGGGAAGAGUGUCAAGAAAAGAGAAAGGAGAGAGGAAACCAGGACUUCCCACCUGGCCUUACUAAGUUUUUGCAGUUG